rnacentral:rRNA from 1 species
GACGAACGCUGGCGGCGUGCCUAAUACAUGCAAGUUGAGCGCUGAAGGUUGGUACUUGUACCAACUGGAUGAGCAGCGAACGGGUGAGUAACGCGUGGGGAAUCUGCCUUUGAGCGGGGGACAACAUUUGGAAACGAAUGCUAAUACCGCAUAAAAACUUUAAACACAAGUUUUAAGUUUGAAAGAUGCAAUUGCAUCACUCAAAGAUGAUCCCGCGUUGUAUUAGCUAGUUGGUGAGGUAAAGGCUCACCAAGGCGAUGAUACAUAGCCGACCUGAGAGGGUGAUCGGCCACAUUGGGACUGAGACGCGGCCCAAACUCCUACGGGAGGCAGCAGUAGGGAAUCUUCGGCAAUGGACGAAAGUCUGACCGAGCAACGCCGCGUGAGUGAAGAAGGUUUUCGGAUCGUAAAACUCUGUUGGUAGAGAAGAACGUUGGUGAGAGUGGAAAGCUCAUCAAGUGACGGUAACUACCCAGAAAGGGACGGCUAACUACGU